rnacentral:rRNA from 1 species
AGAGUUUGAUCCUGGCUCAGGAUGAACGCUGGCGGCAUGCCUAAUACAUGCAAGUCGAACGAGAGGAAGGAAAGCUUGCUUUUCUGAAUCUAGUGGCGAACGGGUGAGUAACACGUAGGUAACCUGCCCAUGUGCCCGGGAUAACUUCUGGAAACGGAUGCUAAAACCGGAUAGGUAGCAGACAAGCAUUUGACUGCUAUUAAAGUGGCUAAGGCCAUGAACAUGGAUGGACCUGCGGUGCAUUAGCUAGUUGGUGAGGUAACGGCCCACCAAGGCGACGAUGCAUAGCCGGCCUGAGAGGGCGGACGGCCACAUUGGGACUGAGACACGGCCCAAACUCCUACGGGAGGCAGCAGUAGGGAAUUUUCGUCAAUGGGGGGAACCCUGAACGAGCAAUGCCGCGUGAGUGAAGAAGGUCUUCGGAUUGUAAAGCUCUGUUGCAAGAGGAAAACGACAUUCAUAGGGAAUGAUGAGUGAGUGAUGGUAUCUUACCAGAAAGUCACGGCUAACUACGUGCCAGCAGCCGCGGUAAUACGUAGGUGGCGAGCGUUAUCCGGAAUGAUUGGGCGUAAAGGGUGCGUAGGUGGCAGAACAAGUCUGGAGUAAAAGGUAUGGGCUCAACCCGUACUGGCUCUGGAAACUGUUCAGCUAGAGAACAGAAGAGGACGGCGGAACUCCAUGUGUAGCGGUG